UUAUGAGCUUGUAUGUUACCAUCUACGAGAGAUAGACGAUAUCGGCCCUAUGCUGAAGCGAGAUGUCAGUAAGGGUUUGUGCACAUAGUUGUGACCGUGAGUCAUCGAGCGGGUUGGCCGGUCACUGUGAUCGGGAGCCUUCGGGCCGAUCACUGUGUUUGAGAAGGAGGCCUACUUCUCAACACAAGGUUACAUGAUGCGUAGUUAUGGUACAUACACGUUAAUUGUCUGCAGACGUAUAUGAUAUUAUGAUGAUAUAUAUAGAAGUUUUACAGUUUUGGCGUGCACAGGUUAUUUAAAUAAAACUCCUGUGUGAUGCUUGAGAUGACAAGUUCAAUAUAUAGCUCUAAGAGCAAGCUUUCAAGUUAUUUUGGCAUGUGACCAUUGAGUGCUUUUGAGUACUCAGCCCUGCAUAUGUUUUCUAAAUGUGCAGGUUAAGCUGUGAUGCAGAUGGAUGUCAGCAGAGCAAAGCUUUUGAUAUAUAAGUACUAAAUUAGGCUCAGAAUUUCAUGUCUUAAUACAU
rnacentral:lncRNA from 1 species